CACGUAGGCACCAAGCGUUGUCCGGAUUUAUUGGGCGUAAAGAGCUCGUAGGCGGUUCAGUAAGUCGGGUGUGAAAACUUUGGGCUUAACCCAAAGCGUGCAUCCGAUACUGGCUGUGACUUGAGUUCGGUAGGGGAGUGGGGAAUUCCUAGUGUAGCGGUGAAAUGCGCAGAUAUUAGGAGGAACACCGGUGGCGAAGGCGCCACUC
rnacentral:rRNA from 1 species